UCCCAACCACAUGGUUUUGGGUUCAGUCUUACUGUCUUACUGUGUGACACCUUGAGCAAGUGUCUUCUACUACAGCCUUAGGCCAGCCAAAGUCUUGUUCCUGUAUUUGGUAAAUGAAAACUGAAAGAAGCCCAUUGGGUGUAUAUAUAUAUAU